UGGGGAAUAUUGGACAAUGGGCGCAAGCCUGAUCCAGCCAUGCCGCGUGAGUGAUGAAGGCCCUAGGGUUGUAAAGCUCUUUCACCGGUGAAGAUAAUGACGGUAACCGGAGAAGAAGCCCCGGCUAACUUCGUGCCAGCAGCCGCGGUAAUACGAAGGGGGCUAGCGUUGUUCGGAUUUACUGGGCGUAAAGCGCACGUAGGCGGACUUUUAAGUCAGGGGGUGAAAUCCCGGGGGCUCAACCCCGGAACUGCCUUUGAUACUGGAAGUCUUGAGUAUGGUAGAGGUGAGUGGAAUUCCGAGUGUAGAGGUGAAAUUCGUAGAUAUUCGGAGGAACACCAGUGGCGAAGGCGGCUCACUGGACCAUUACUGACGCUGAGAUGCGAAAGCGUGGGGGAGCAAACAGGAUUAGAUACCCUGGUAGUCCACGCCGUAAACGAUGAAUGUUAGCCGUUGGGGAGUUUUAACUCUUCGGUGGCGCAGCUAACGCAUUAAACAUUCCGCCU
rnacentral:rRNA from 1 species